CAAGUAACAGGUCUCUUAUGUCAAAGUUGAUGGCAGGAAAAAAAUAAAGAAACCUGUUGUUAUCGUCAACAGAUCUCUUUUAUAUUAUUUAUUUUUUAAUUUUUAUUUAAAAUAUACUAGAAUCCAGCCACCAUGUAUAAUAUUGAAGGAAAGAAAAAUCGCCCCACUUCUGUAAAAAAAAAAUCACCUUUCACCGUCGACUCGCUGCCCCCUCCAUCGUCGCCCACACCGCCGCCCACUUACACUACCCUCCAGAUGCUCCUCUCUAUUGCCGGUACGAUUCUCUCGUCACCCGAAGUUGCUUUCCUGCGUAUCCUCGAAGAUUAAACUCCGGCGAGUUCCACAUCCACGCGACCCUAAUCUCCGGCAACUUCCUCAUACAACGCGACCCUAACCUCCGGCGACUUCCGACCCUCCUCCACUCCCCUCCUAUACUCGAAGCUUCCCUCACCCUAAGGUACCAUCAAUACCCUUUUUCCCCAUAUUAAUUUUUUUUCUAGGGUUUAUCGGCUUCACAUUUGCACCCCUCUUUCAAUUGCUGGGCUUCGUUAAUUUACAAUUAUGGAUAAGACGGAAAAUUCUAUGCUGAAGAUAGCAAUCAUACACCCAGAUCUUGGUCUUUUCAUCUUUUCGACUGACUAUCUAACUUGACUAAUACAUGGAGUAAUAUGUCCAUUUAAUGUCUACUCUUACAUUAGGCCACAUGUCAUACAACAUUGAAUUAAGCAUAGUUUUAGAUGCAAUUGUGAAGCUCAAAGAUGGUGUAAAUAUGUUUUGGAGUGCAAAAGGAGAAAGAAGCAGCAGUUAUUCAUUAUCAUAUUCGUGGAUUUAUCUGUCGGCAAAUAGCAAAUAGCAAUUAAAGAGAGAUAGCAUGCCAUUACUAUUCAAGUAAGAUUAAAUCCUCACGGGUCAUCUGUUGCUCUACGAAAAAGCAUUUAACUACUUCUAAUAGUUUAAUGAGUUUGGUUUAUAUAUUUGGGGGGAAAAUUAGAGUAUUUUUAGAUAUUUUUGUAUAGUAUAUUUGAAGGUUACAUUUGAAUUAUUAUAAUUAAUGAAUGUUUGUAAAAGUGUUUAUCAACUUUGGUUAUAUAAUAUAAUUUCAUGAAAA